CUCUUAUCAAGAGCGGCGGAGGGAUAGGCCCGAUGAAGCCCGGCAACCUGCAGUGUCAGACUGUAAAGGUGCCAAUUCCUACAGAUUCAGAUGAAUCUGGAAGAUAAGGG
rnacentral:ncRNA from 2 species